AUCAUUACAAGAAUACAAGAACCUAACGGUUAUAUUUAUGGCACAAUGAGUUUACAUUUUAAUACAUUUUCUACACAUACUGUAGCCUUUACAUGAAACCAACAGGUGGAUUCUCAAAUGGAGGAAAAGGUUUUGAAUCAAAAUCAGGCAAAUCUGUCGUUUGAGAUCCUGGUUCUGCGUAAUCACUGACCCAGCCAGUAAUAUCUGACUCAAUUUGUUGAGUAUGUAUCACACAUUAGAAUUGCUGGAUACAAGAAUGACACACAUUUAAAAAUUACAAGGUUGCCCACAAAUUUCACUAUUUCCAUGGGUGAGAAAGCUAAUUUAGUGAAGUAGGCAGUUGCGAAGUUUAACAUGGAGAGAAUGUUAUGGAAAGAAAAUAAGUGGACAUGAUCCCUUCUGUAAGAAACACUUAUUAAUUACUUGCUUUCUCAUCCCUAAAAAGAGGAUAAAGAAUCUUCAGAAGAUCUACAGGGUCCACUAUAUCUAAAGAGAUCAACACUUGAGCUAGAAGCAUGCUCAUCCCAGAAAAUGGCAGUGCUGUAAGGAACAACAUGUGCUACAAUUAAGAGGAAUGUACGAACCACUCAUUGGAUCCUGCAGCACAAUAAAAAAAAUCCUUCAUUCAUUCACUCAGGAGGAAAGAGAAUACAAUAACAUUUAGUAUAUUACACAAGUGAGCAGUUAUGAUAAUAAAAGAACUA